CCUACGGGUGGCAGCAGUGAGGAAUAUUGGUCAAUGGCCGAGAGGCUGAACCAGCCAAGUCGCGUGAGGGAAGACGGCCCUACGGGUUGUAAACCUCUUUUGUCGGGGAGCAAAGAGAGUCACGUGUGAGUCUUUGAGAGUACCCGAAGAAAAAGCAUCGGCUAACUCCGUGCCAGCAGCCGCGGUAAUACGGAGGAUGCGAGCGUUAUCCGGAUUUAUUGGGUUUAAGGGGUGCGCAGGCGGAGGUGCAAGUCAGCGGUAAAAUUGCGGGGCUCAACCCCGUACUGCCGUUGAAACUGCAGACCUUGAGUGUGCGAGAAGUAUGCGGAAUGCGUGGUGUAGCGGUGAAAUGCAUAGAUAUCACGCAGAACUCCGAUUGCGAAGGCAGCAUACCGGCGCGCAACUGACGCUGAUGCACGAAAGCGUGGGUAUCGAACAGGAUUAGAUACCCGUGUAGUC
rnacentral:rRNA from 1 species